rnacentral:rRNA from 1 species
UACGUAGGGUGCAAGCGUUGUCCGGAAUUAUUGGGCGUAAAGAGCUCGUAGGCGGUCUGUUGCGUCGGCUGUGAAAACCCGGGGCUCAACUCCGGGCCUGCAGCCGAUACGGGCAGACUAGAGUUCGGCAGGGGAGACUGGAAUUCCUGGUGUAGCGGUGAAAUGCGCAGAUAUCAGGAGGAACACCGGUGGCGAAGGCGGGUCUCUGGGCCGAUACUGACGUGAGGAGCGAAAGCGUGGGGAGCGAACAGG